rnacentral:rRNA from 1 species
GACGAACGCUGGCGGCGUGCUUAACACAUGCAAGUCGAACGGAAAGGCCCUGCUUUUGUGGGGUGCUCGAUUGGCGAACGGGUGAGUAACACGUGAGUAACCUGCCCUUGACUUUGGGAUAACUUCAGGAAACUGGGGCUAAUACCGGAUAGGAGCUCCUGCUGCAUGGGGGGGGUUGGAAAGUUUCGGCGGUUGGGGCUGGACUCGCUGCUUAUCAGCUUGUUGGUGGGGUAGUGGCGUACCAAGGCUGUGACGGGUAGCCGGCAUGAGAGGGUGACCGGGCACAUUGGGACUGAGAUACGGACCAGACGCGUACGGGAGGCAGCAGUGGGGAGUAUUGCAGAGUGGGGGGAAGCCUGAUGCGGCAGCGCCGCGUUCGGGAUGACGGCCUACGGGUUAUAAACCGCUUUCUCCUGUGACGAAGAGUGCGUGACGGUAAUGGGUAAAGAAGCACCGGCUAACUACGUG